rnacentral:rRNA from 1 species
CAGCCGCCGCGGGAAUACGAAGGGGGCUAGCGUUGUUCGGAAUUACUGGGCGUAAAGCGCACGUAGGCGGAUAUUUAAGUCAGGGGUGAAAUCCCAGAGCUCAACUCUGGAACUGCCUUUGAUACUGGGUAUCUUGAGUAUGGAAGAGGUGAGUGGAAUUCCGAGUGUAGAGGUGAAAUUCGUAGAUAUUCGGAGGAACACCAGUGGCGAAGGCGGCUCACUGGUCCAUUACUGACGCUGAGGUACGAAAGCGUGGGGAGCAAACAGGAUUAGAUACCCGCGUAGUCCCUGUCUCUUAUAC